AUUGAACGCUGGCGGCAGGCCUAACACAUGCAAGUCGAACGGUAACAGGAAGAAGCUUGCUUCUUUGCUGACGAGUGGCGGACGGGUGAGUAAUGUCCGGGAAACUGCCUGAUGGAGGGGGAUAACUACUGGAAACGGUAGCUAAUACCGCAUAACGUCGCAAGACCAAAGAGGGGGACCUUCGGGCCUCUUGCCAUCGGAUGUGCCCAGAUGGGAUUAGCUAGUAGGUGGGGUAACGGCUCACCUAGGCGACGAUCCCUAGCUGGUCUGAGAGGAUGACCAGCCACACUGGAACUGAGACACGGUCCAGACUCCUACGGGAGGCAGCAGUGGGGAAUAUUGCACAAUGGGCGCAAGCCUGAUGCAGCCAUGCCGCGUGUAUGAAGAAGGCCUUCGGGUUGUAAAGUACUUUCAGCGGGGAGGAAGGGAGUAAAGUUAAUACCUUUGCUCAUUGACGUUACCCGCAGAAGAAGCACCGGCUAACUCCGUG
rnacentral:rRNA from 1 species